rnacentral:lncRNA from 1 species
AGAAAGGGUGGGGUUAUAAAUCGAGAAAAUGAAGCACUACAUGAGGGCUGAGGUGCAGGGGAUCUGAAAUAAUGACUCAGAAGUAAUGAGGCAGACUGAAAGGACCAGUUUCCCCUUUGUCUUUAUCUCAUGUGGUUGCCAUGAAGACUGGAUUGAGUGGGGAAGUUGCAGGCCAUUCUAGGUCGGUUUUCACACCACAGAAAUGGGGGCUACACGGGGGAUCUAGGUCAUCAGCGUGCCUUCUAAAGUACCCACAGAGAGGACCUGAGAGGUGUUUUAUCAUCAGCUCAUAUCAGCCCCAUUGUACCUCAUCCCUCAUGCAUAGCACACCUAGAACCUUCUAGUUGCAACAGUCUUAAUACACAAAAAGCUAAGGUCACCUUGUUCUGGUGGCUUUUCUGGACCGGGGUAAACAGAAAUGCUUUUUGGUCAAGAGAAAACUGAGCUCCUUUCUAGGUAGAAUAUUACAUCGAAAAGAGCUUUCCCCCGGUCUGUUUAUCCCACGAGGAACUUCUGUGUUUCUUCUUGUCCUCCAAAGCUGACCCCAAAGCUCUCCAGGGCCUGUCUUAGGAAACAGCACCUGUCCUGCUGUUUAGAGUCUUAGAUGGAAAUGUACACACACAACACAUGUGCCUGUCAAAGCAUCCCCGAACUUCCUGCCCAGGAAUCCGGGAGGUAGUCAUCCAGGAGGAGGUAGUCAUGGGGGAAGGAGCCCCUGUAAUGAGACAAGUCAAGCCCCAGGUCUCCACGAAACCAGAGCCUUUUCCCACCCCAGUACCUCCGUUCCCCUUUCCCUUCCGCUGUGUACACAUUUGACCAGAACUGCAACAUUUCAAACGUAAACCCAGAUCUGCCUGGAAAUCCUAAUUAAAAACCUUCCGUUCCCAGGUGGUACAAUCACAUCCUGCCUAAAGUGUCUGGCUCACGUCCCACCACGCAGAUGCCGAAAAGAGACCUUUCCCCACUUAACACCAAAACCUUCAUUUGGGAUUUCUUCAGGGGACAAAGGGAAAAAAAACCAAUUCAGAAUUCAGAGGUACCCAUAUGCAGAGGUCAGCCUACAACACAUUCAUUAAGGGAAAAGAGCGUGGUUUGUUUCUCUGUCUUUCACACUUUGAUUGCUGGCAUGGCGACUGUGGCUAUGAUAAACUGUGUAACCAGACAGGAACUGGAGAAGAGAAUAAAUGCUGGUGCUCUGAAAUGACCUACCCAACCCUGUCAUCUGUAACAACCAGUGAUAACACUCUUGUCUUGUAAAAAGGGUUUGUACAUAACUUGUACAUGGUUUCAUUUUGUAUUUUUCGCAGAUUAAAAAUUUAUGUAUUUGUGUUCUAAAA